GGUUAGAUUCAGGGACUUCUUUUCUCUUUUCUUUCCUUUUCUCUAUCUUUCUUUCUUCCUUAGGUAAGGAAAAGGGAGUUGAAAAGAUAGAAAAAUAUUAUAAGAAAUUAGAUAAAUAAGACAAAUAAGAGCAGAUUAACCAAAAACAAAAAAACAAAACAAAACAAAACAAAACAAAACACCAUUGUACAGCCACAGUCUCACAUUGGUAAGGAUCUUUAUACUUUGAUGCAAAAUUGAGGUUAUAUUUUGCUACACUGGCACAGAAUUGGUACAGAAAUCAACCUGUAAAUGAUACAAGUUUAAGGUUUUCAUUGGUAUAAAUCUUUUUAUAUUGAUACAAAAUUUAAGAUUUGUUUUGUUACAAUAUAUGUAUGUUUCAACUCUUUUAUAAGUAGUGUGCCUAUGCAACUCAUUUAAUAAUACAAGGUUUAGUCCCAGCCUUUUUUUUUUUAAAGAUUUAUUUACUUAUUAUUUAUUUAUUAUAUGUAAGUACACUGUAGCUGUCUUCAGACACUCCAGAAGAGGGCAUCAGAUCUCAUUACGGGUGGUUGUGAGCCACCAUGUGGUUGCUGGGAUUUGAACUUUGGACCUUCGGAAGAGCAGUCGGGUGCUCUUACCCACUGAGCCAUCUCACCAGCCCAGUCCCAGCCUCUUUAAUAGCUGCUAUUACAAACUGUUUAGGAUAAUUAAGUAUGGCGAGUUACUCAUGGUCAUGUUAGAUACUAAUCUGGAUUAUCACAGAAAUAUACAUCCUGAGUUAUACAGACAAUAGGUAGCUGGAGACAGGUAAUAUUUGCUUGUUCAGAUAUGCUAUGAUAGAUGGUGUUAAAAAAACCUCAGAGAUCCACAAAAUAUGGCAUUUAAAAUUAUUUCAUUAUUAAAAGAUAUUUUGACUGAGAUAGGUCUGCUCCUGACAGUACCCCAUUCUGCUUCAAAGAAGGUGAUGAGCAUCAAUAGCCUCUAUAUAUAAUUGCUUCAAUUGUGGCAAGCUAGCCACUAGACAAAGAAAAUGCCCUAAAUUCAUCUACAGACAAUAUGUUGUCCGAAAAGGACUAACAGACACAGAGAAGUCGAUUGCCAAGCUCUGUCAAGACAGGGUAAGCUAGUCCUUCAUAAUUCCUGCUUCACAAAAGGUCUGUCAGAUAUUCUGGACCAGAAGGUUCAAGGUAGAUGCUUCAACAUUACAGAGAUAAUUUGGGGGACUGUCCAGGCAAUCAGCUGUCUGUCAUUUCUAUAGUUUUUUUGGGAAGCUAUGUGCCUUUGCUUCCUGCAUACUCAGGUAGUAUUUAUUCUUUCUCAGGUCUCAGAUGGAGUUAUAGUCUCACAAUGAAGUUUAAGUUGUUUUAGACUUAAGAAGAUGUUUAUGUCUUAGAAGAUAUUUUUAAAUUAAUAAUGUGAAUUAAGAUAGAAAUUGGUUUAAAUGCAGAACACUGAAUGACCAAGAUAGGAUAGAAAAUACAAUACCUUCUCCUGAGUGGUCAAAUACAAACAAAAGUGAACUUUUUAAACACAUUGCUUAAUAAUUGUUUUAAAGGUUUAUUUAUUUAUUAUAUGUAAAGUACACUGUAGCUGUUUUCAGACUCUCCAGAAGAAGGCAUCAGAUCUUGUUACGGAUGGUUGUGAGCCACCAUGUGGUUGCUGGGAUUUGAACUUGGACCUUCGGAAGAGCAGUCGGUGCUCUUAACCGCUGAGCCAUCUCUCCAGCCUCUAAUGAAGGCAUAGUUGCUGGGAAUUGAACUCAGGACCUCUGGAAAAGCAGUCAGUGGUCUUCACCGCUGAGUCAUCUCCCCAGCCCAUAAUAAUUUUUACAACUGCUCAUAACUGUUCCUACUGUAUGUUGUUUAAUAUUAUUAUAAGAGAAAGAGCCUUUUUUUAUUUAG
rnacentral:lncRNA from 1 species